ACUCUCAGCAACGGAUAUCUUGGCUCUUGCAACGAUGAAGAACGCAGUGAAAUGCGAUACGUAGUGUGAAUUGCAGAAUUCCGCGAAUCAUCGAGUUUUUGAACGCAAGUUGCGCCCGAGGCUCGUCCGAGGGCAUUUCCGCUAGAGCGUCA
rnacentral:rRNA from 1 species